rnacentral:tRNA from 1 species
CAUUAGAUAUCUAAAGUAAGAACUGGUCUCUUAAACCAUUAAUAGUAUACUAACAAUUACUUCUAAUGA